CUUUUUUUUAAUUAUUUUUAUAUUCAUCUCUCUUUUUUUUUAGUCCAAAUAUACGAAAUUGAUCACGUCGAGUAAUACGAUUGAAUCGAACAAAAAUGACGAAUCAAAAUAGAACCUGUCCAUUUUUUUUAUUGUCAUGUUUUGUUCAAAUACGUGGAGUUUAAUUGUGUCGAGCCUAUCAUGAAGAUGGCCGCUCGAUUAAUCUUUUCGACCAUGUCGAGCCUAUCACGAAGAUGGCCGCACGGUUUACGUAAUCCGGUUCGAUCAAUUAUUUUGACCAUGUCGAGCCUAUCACGAAGAUGGCCGCACGGUUCACGCUUUCGACCAUGUCGAGUCUAUCACGAAGAUGGCCGCACGGUUUACGUAAUAAAACGUCCGGUUCGAUCAAUCAUUUUGACCAUGUCGAGCCUAUCACGAAGAUGACCGCACGGUUUGGAGAGUAACAAUACAUACGCAUGGCGGAAGUGACGAUUUGAUAUCAGAUUUGAUCGGUUCGAAACCUAUCACGAAGAUGGUCGAGUUGAUCAAACCAACAAAAAGAUCGCAUUUACGCUAUGCGUAUGCUUGCGUAUUUCCUAUUAUUAUAAAAAUCGUUGCGAUUGUCGA
rnacentral:lncRNA from 1 species